rnacentral:rRNA from 1 species
GACGAACCACACAAACGUUAUUCGGAAUCACUGGGCGUAAAGGGUGCGUAGGCGGGUUUUUAAGUCAGGGGUGAAAUCCUGGAGCUCAACUCCAGAACUGCCUUUGAUACUGAAGAUCUUGAGUUCGGGAGAGGUGAGUGGAACUGCGAGUGUAGAGGUGAAAUUCGUAGAUAUUCGCAAGAACACCAGUGGCGGAGGCGGCUCACUGGCCCGAUACUGACGCUGAGGCACGAAAGCGUGGGGAGCAAACAGG